CUAACACAUUAUUGCUAACUUGUUUUUUUUUUUUUUUUUUUUUUUUUUUUUAUUUAUUUAUUUUUUUUUUGGCAUAUUUUUUACUAACUCCGGCAUAAAAUUUAUUACAUCCACUUCUCUCGUUUCACCCAUACAGCAAUUUGUUAUUAUGAUUGGCUCAUAAGUACAUAUAAAUAUAUAUAUAUAUAUAAUAGAUAAAAUGAAAAUUGAUCGUAAAUGAUUCAAUUAAUUGAACUAAUUAAUCUAUUCGAAAAUAAAUCAAAUACAAAAUAAAUUAAAAAAAAAAACAAUAAAUUAAAAAAAAAAACAAUAAAUUAAACAAAAAAAAUAAAUAAAUAAAUAAAUAAGCAUACAAAAUAUGGGACGUAUAGCCAUUUAAAAAAAAAAAAAAUGAAAACAUAUUUGGUUUACUUCUUUGUAUUUUUUUUAUGUGUAACUUUACACAUAGCAAUAGUAGACGCACAUAAAGCAAGUACUGGCACUAAUACAGAUACUGGUACUCAAAGUGUAAAAAUGAAGGAGAUAAGAGCAACCAAAGUGAGAGUAAUUUAAGUGAAGGAAACAGUUCCACAAAUAGUAAUAAAAAAACAUCUAAAAAAAAAGUUAAAAAAGUUAAAAAAACUAAGAAAGAUAAAAUCAAAGAACAAGAAGAAACAAAUACAAACGAUUCUGUGAAUGGUAUAAAUGAUAAUUCGGAAAAAGAAUUUAUAAAAAAGUAUUAUACUAAUGAGAAAGAGUUACAAAAAAAUGAAGGUGAAAGUGGUGAAGUAGCUAGUGAAAAAGUUAAUGAAAAAGUUAGUGAAAAAGUUAGUGAAGUAGCUAGCCAAUUAGGUAAAGAAAAAGAUCAAAACGUUGUGAAAGGUGAAAACGAAGAGGAAGAAGAAGAAGGAGAAGAAGAAGAAGAAGAUGAAGAAAACGAAGAGAAUAGUCAAGACGAUAUAGAGGUAGCUAGUAAAACGCCUAGUAGUGAUGUAAAUAUUGAAACAGCCAAAACGCAAAAUAAAAAUGUAAAUAAAGAACAUAGCAAUAAAGCAAGUACCAAAGAAGAUAAUAAGGCCAGUACUACAACAACUACUACACAGGGUGCUAGAGCUACUACAAAAAGAAGUAGUAAUACAACUACUAACACUGCUAGUACUGCCAGUAGUACCGGUACAACUACUACAAAAAAAACACCCAAUAAAGCAUCAACACCAACAUCAACAGUAGGAAAAUCACAAAAAGUAAAUGAAGAUAAACAAAAAGUAAACAAAAAAGAAGAAAUACCAAAAAUGAAUGAUUAUGAUACAAAAAAACCAGAUGUUUAUAAUUUUUUGGAUAAUGAUGAAAAUGAUGAUGACGAUGAUGAUUCAUCUGAUCAUGACGAUUUAACAUAUUUAUGGAACCAAAAUAUGAAAAAUUUUGAACCAACAACUUUAUUAACGUUUGAAAUAGGAGCAAAUGUAGAAGAAUUUUUAUUUGAGGAAAUUGAAAAAUUAAAUGUAUACUUUCGUGGUUUGUUUUAUUCUAAUGAUGAUCAUGAUGAAAACGAAAUUGAAUUUAUUAUUUCAGACCCAGAUGGCCAAACAGUAUAUAGAAAAGAAGCUAGUGAAGGUAUUUUUUAUUUUUAUACUAAAAAGAUUGGAAUAUAUACUAUUAUAAUAAAAAAUCAUAAAUGGAUUGAAAAGAAGACAAUAACUGUUGCUAUAGGACUAGGUAAAAGUCCAUCUCUUAAAUCUGAUCAUGUACAAGAUUUUACAAAUUAUAUAGAAAAAAUUGUUUCAGAAACAAAUAAAUUAAAAAACGAAAUAAAAUAUUUAGCAUCUAAACAUAGCUCACAUAUUGAAAAAAUGAAAAAAAUAACUAACAAAGCUUUUUUAUAUUGUUUUAUUAAAUUAUUUGUUCUUAUCUUUUUGUCACUAUUU
ensembl:lncRNA